GAGACUAUGGUCGACGUAACAAUAGGGGGAAUGAGAAGUCCUUUCAUGAUUGAUACAGGUGCUGAACAUUCUGGAAAGACUGUAACUGUGAUAGGAGCUACUGGGAGAAGCACUGCUUGACCGGUUCUCAGGAGUCGCACUUGCAUUUUAGGAGGCCAUUUUGUGAAGGACCAGUUCCUAUAUAUGCCAGAGUGUCCAAUCCAAC